GGUUAUUCAUUAAUGAUACAGUGAUGUCGGACAUCAAGAGACCUACAUUGCAGUCCAUGCUUGUAGGGUUGCUACAAUAUCUGUGAAACUUUCAUAGAAAAUUCAACUCUGCUAAUCAUUUAUUCACCAGUAAAAAUAGGGGUAUUGGGCUAGAAUAGAGGUGAACAAACUAUAGCCCAUAGGCUAAAUCCAGACCAUCACCUGAUUUUGUAUGGCC
rnacentral:lncRNA from 1 species